rnacentral:rRNA from 1 species
GACGAACGCUGGCGGCGUGCUUAACACAUGCAAGUCGAACGGAAAGGCCCUGCUCUUGUGGGGUGCUCGAGUGGCGAACGGGUGAGUAACACGUGAGUAACCUGCCCUUGACUUUGGGAUAACUUCAGGAAACUGGGGCUAAUACCGGAUAGGAGCUCCUGCUGCAUGGUGGGGGUUGGAAAGUUUCGGCGGGUGGGGAUGGACUCGCGGCUUAUCAGCUUGUUGGUGGGGUAGUGGCUUACCAAGGCUUUGACGGGUAGCCGGCCUGAGAGGGUGACCGGCCACAUUGGGACUGAGAUACGGCCCAGACUCCUGCGGGAGGCAGAAGUGGGGAAUAUUGCACAAUGGGCGGAAGCCUGAUGCAGCAACGCCGCGUUCGGGAUGACGGCCUUCGGGUUGUAGACCGCUUUCGCCGGUGACGAAGCGUGAGUGACGGUAAUGGGUAAAGAAGCACCGGCUAACUACGUG